rnacentral:rRNA from 1 species
GACGAACGCUGGCGGCGUGCCUAAUACAUGCAAGUCGAGCGCUGAAGCCCGGUACUUGUACCAACUGGAUGAGCAGCGAACGGGUGAGUAACGCGUGUGGACUCUGCUUUUGUGCGGGGUACAACAUUUGGACACGAAUGCUAAUACCGCAUAAGAACUUUAAACACAAUGUUUAAGUUUGAAAGUUGCAAUUGCAUCACUCACACAUGAUCCCGCGUUGUAUUAGCUAGUUGGUGAGGUAAAGGCUCACCAAGGCGAGGAUACAUAGCCGACAUGAGAGGAUGGUCAGCCGGAUUGAGACUGAGACACGCCACAAACGGCUACGGGAAGCAGCCGUAGGGAAACGUGAGCAAGGGGCGGAAGUCAGUGCGAGCAACGCCGCGGGAGUGAGGAGGGAUUUCGGAUCGGAAAACUCUGUCGGCAGGGAAGAAAGUGGGUGAGAGUGGAAAGCACAGCAAGUGACGGUAACGAGCAAGAAAGGAACGGCUAACUACGUG